rnacentral:rRNA from 1 species
UACGGAGGGUGCAAGCGUUAUCCGGAUUUACUGGGUUUAAAGGGUGUGUAGGUGGGCUUUUAAGUCAGUGGUGAAAUCUCCGGGCUCAACCUGGAAACUGCCAUUGAUACUAUUAGUCUUGAAUUUUGUUGAGGUAGGCGGAAUAAGUCAUGUAGCGGUGAAAUGCAUAGAUAUGACUUAGAACACCAAUUGCGAAGGCAGCUUGCUAAACAAAUAUUGACGCUGAGGCACGAAAGCGUGGGGAUCAAACAGG